AGUGGCGAACGGGUGAGUAACAUAUCGGAACGUACCUAGUAAUGGGGGAUAACUAGCCGAAAGGUUAGCUAAUACCGCAUACGCCCUGAGGGGGAAAGCGGGGGAUCGUAAGACCUCGCGUUAUUAGAGCGGCCGAUAUCUGAUUAGCUAGUUGGUGGGGUAAAGGCCUACCAAGGCGACGAUCAGUAGCUGGUCUGAGAGGACGACCAGCCACACUGGAACUGAGACACGGUCCAGACUCCUACGGGAGGCAGCAGUGGGGAAUUUUGGACAAUGGGCGCAAGCCUGAUCCAGCCAUUCCGCGUGAGUGAAGAAGGCCUUCGGGUUGUAAAGCUCUUUCGCAAGGGAAGAAACGAUGCAGUCGAAUAAACUGCGUUAAUGACGGUACCUUGAUAAGAAGCACCGGCUAACUACGUGCCAGCAGCCGCGGUAAUACGUAGGGUGCGAGCGUUAAUCGGAAUUACUGGGCGUAAAGCGUGCGCAGGCGGUUUUGUAAGUCAGAUGUGAAAUCCCCGGGCUCAACCUGGGAACUGCGUUUGAAACUACAAGGCUAGAGUGUAGCAGAGGGGGGUAGAAUUCCACGUGUAGCAGUGAAAUGCGUAGAGAUGUGGAGGAAUACCAAUGGCGAAGGCAGCCCCCUGGGUUAACACUGACGCUCAUGCACGAAAGCGUGGG
rnacentral:rRNA from 1 species